UUUUUUUAUUGACUUUAAUUAGUUUUGGUAUUGAGAGUAAUUAUGAGAUUGGGUAAAUAAAUAAAAUGGAGGAAAUCAAACACAAGGGUAUAAUAGGAACUUUGUAUCAAACUAGCUUGUCCUUGGUUAGUGCAAUUUCUCCAAAACGACAUGUAUUUUGAAACGAAGUGAGUAUCGUUAGACAUUUACAACUUUUUGUUUGGUGCUUUGAAAUUCCUUAACCUCACUUAAAUUGUCAUAAUUUUUAGGCUGAAAGCUCUGAUGUGGAUGCU
rnacentral:lncRNA from 1 species